rnacentral:rRNA from 1 species
UGGGGAAUAUUGGACAAUGGGCGGAAGCCUGAUCCAGCCAUGCCGCGUGUGUGAAGAAGGCCUUUUGGUUGUAAAGCACUUUAAGCGAGGAGGAGGCUACUUGGAUUAAUACUCUAGGAUAGUGGACGUUACUCGCAGAAUAAGCACCGGCUAACUCUGUGCCAGCAGCCGCGGUAAUACAGAGGGUGCGAGCGUUAAUCGGAUUUACUGGGCGUAAAGCGUGCGUAGGCGGCUUCUUAAGUCGGAUGUGAAAUCCCUGAGCUUAACUUAGGAAUAGCAUUCGAUACUGGGAAGCUAGAGUAUGGGAGAGGAUGGUAGAAUUCCAGGUGUAGCGGUGAAAUGCGUAGAGAUCUGGAGGAAUACCGAUGGCGAAGGCAGCCAUCUGGCCUAAUACUGACGCUGAGGUACGAAAGCAUGGGGAGCAAACAGG